rnacentral:lncRNA from 1 species
GGCUGACCCUAGUUAGUCUAAACUAUCAGUUAUGGGAUCCAUUUGUUCUAAAUAUUGAAGGCAUUGUUGGGGGCAGUGGGGAGGGUGAAUGAUAGACGCAAAUUCCUUGAAGGAAUAGAAAUGUGACUACUAUGCUGAAAAGCAGGACCCAUGGAGUAUAAAGUUCUAGUUUAGCUUGUUCUCCCCUUUCUCUCUUCCAUCUCUUUCUUGUCUCAAUGGAUGACAGGAUGUUUUGCUAUGAGCUGACUCAGUGGUUGGUGUCUUGUAAUGGGGAGAUAUCAUCUUUAUCAAACAGUUAUUAAGUAUCUACC